rnacentral:rRNA from 1 species
CGAACGCUGGCGGCGUGCUUAACACAUGCAAGUCGAACGGAAAGGCCCUGCUUUUGUGGGGUGCUCGAGUGGCGAACGGGUGAGUAACACGUGAGUAACCUGCCCUUGACUUUGGGAUAACUUCAGGAAACUGGGGCUAAUACCGGAUAGGAGCUCCUGCUGCAUGGUGGGGGUUGGAAAGUUUCGGCGGUUGGGGAUGGACUUGCGGCUUAUCAGCUUGUUGGUGGGGUAGUGGCUUACCAAGGCUUUGACGGGUAGCCGGCCUGAGAGGGUGACCGGCCACAUUGGGACUGAGAUACGGCCCAGACUCCUACGGGAGGCAGCAGUGGGGAAUAUUGCACAAUGGGCGGAAGCCUGAUGCAGCAACGCCGCGUGCGGGAUGACGGCCUUCGGGUUGUAAACCGCUUUCGCCUGUGACGAAGCGUGAGUGACGGUAAUGGGUAAAGAAGCACCGGCUAACUACGUG